UAUAAGUGUUUUAUGGCACUUUUUAAAUCCAUAUCCACCUUGUGUGCAAUGUCGUCGAUCUUCUUCAUGGAGAUCGACCAAACAUCAACCUUUAUCUUUUAACUCUUUGUCUGAAAAAUAUUAUGAAUAAACAAUUCAAAAUA
rnacentral:misc_RNA from 1 species